GUUUUGUUUGCAAACCCAAAAGUUUUGUUUGCAAAUCCAAAAGUUUUGUUUGCGAAUCCAAAAGUUUGGUUUGCGAAUCAAAAAGCUUUGUUUGCGAAUCCUAAAGUUUAGCUUGCGAAUCCAAAAGCUUUGCUUGCUGUUGAGCUGAAUCUCGUGGGCGGGACCUACACCCAGUGGCGGGCCGUACUAUUAGGCAAACCAGGCAUUUGCCUGGAGCCCCGGGCCCCAUAGAAGGUUUGUGGGGCCCCCAAAAUGCCCCAAUGCAUAUAUAUUGUCCCCAUAUUUAUAAUUUUUAUAAAAAUCUCUUCAAAAUAGUAGCAUCGGGAUGUCUAAUUACUCAUGUUUUGACGAUCUUUCCGUGUGCACCCCCCUUCAGUCUGCACUACAUGGACUAUUCCAUGUAGUGCGCACAAUGAAGUCAAAUUCAAAACAGUAAGCGGUAAGAGAGAGAGAGAGAAAUCGAGUGAGACCUAAAUCGAGUGAAACAUGAAGCGAUCGUACGAAAGCGGGUCACAUAAAAAGAAGAAGAAAGACCAAAGGCAGGACUUUCUUUCAAAGCUACCAAAGCUAUCCAGCUUUUUUACAGCCACCGCAGUGUCAGCGGGACCGUCGGAGGAUCAAGAGCAGCCGUCAACGUCGUUUGCUGUCACGUUACUGCUCAUUUCAUUCCAAGUGGCUCUGGCUCAGCCAGCAGCGAUGCUAAUGACGUGUGUCAACAAACUGAUGGAGAUGAUGCACAACUGGUAGUGAAUAUUUCUCACUCUCCUUCUUCCACUUCGGUUAUUGAAAUUGAUGACAAUAACGAUAACAAUGACUGCGAGACACAUAUUCUUGUGGAUGACCCAGCACUCUGGCCCAAGCUGCUGUGUCUUGGGCAGGUGCACACAUAUUCUUGUGGAUGACCCAGCACUCUGGCCCAAGGGCCGCAGAUUCACAAAAGCAUACUAUUACAUAGUAAUGAAAAAUGGUGAGAGGGUGAACAGGUCUUGGUUAGUCUACAGUGAAAGUGCAGACCGUGUUUUUUGCUUUUGUUGUUGCCUUUUUGGAAAACAAAAACAACUGAGUGAGGAAGGAUUUAAAGACUGGAAUAACCUUGCAAUGCAUCUAAUCAACCAUGAAAGGUCUGAAGGAAAAAUACUGAUAGCUGGAAGCAGCUAUCAGUAGGUUUCCAGUAGUGGUUUCCAGUAGGUCACAGCAGAUAGCUGCUGUGACCUACUGGAAACCCUCAGGUAAAUGAUGACAUAAGGUUAACAGUCAGUGUAAUGUGUCAACAUAAAGAAUCUUAUUGUUUUGUAUGUUAUUCUCCAUUUUUAAAUAGAUGAUUAACAUUUGCAUGAAAGAAGGAUAGUGACUUUUGUUCAUCCCUUGUAUGGAGUAUCUCAUUAUGCGAUAUAAGGUACAUUAGACCGGUAGAUGCAGGGGCCCACAAAUGACUGUUCGCCUGGAGCCCCCAAAUGGCUAAGUUCGCCACUGCCUACACCGAAAGAUGUAAGACACGUCUCUAUUGGCCAGUCUCGAUCGGAGUGACAGCUUGGCAACAUCCGAAAAGCCGCUGCCCCCCGACCGCCUCCAGAAGCAGAUUUGUCGGCCUGACGGACAGGGUGUUCGUUUGUGCCUCUCAAUCCGCGGCGGCGGUCAACAACAUCGCCCUGCUCUCCUCUGCCAUGGUCUCCUUGUCGGCUGACAGGGAGGCCUACGGGAUAUUCAGGGCGCGCAAGCGCGCGCACGGGACAAGCUCAUAAGGCGAAGCCUAGACGGCGUAGCCUACAUGAAAUAGAACUCCCUCUCUCGUUACUAACUGUGGAUGUUGCCAAGCUGUCACUCCGAUCGAGACUGGCCAAUAGAGACGUAUCUUACAUCUUUCGGCGUAGGUCCCGCCCCCCCAGAUUCAGCUCAACAGCAAGCAAAGCUUUUGGAUUCUCAAGCAAAACUUUUGGAUUUGCAAACAAAACUUUUUGGUUUGCAAACAAAACUUUUGGAUUCCCAUUAAUAUUUUUUUUAUCACAUUAAUUUAUCUUGCUAUAAAACAUUUUUUGAUUGCAGUGUCGAUAGUUUUGCUCUCAAAUCAAUUUUUUGAUUGCAGUGUGGAAAGUUUUGCUCUCAAACCUAUUUUUUGAUUGCAGUGUGGAAAGUUUUGCUCUCAAACCUAUUAUUUUUGAUUGCAUAAUAAAGACACAAAUCUACCUCCAUACCUAUGGUCCCCCAGUGUCUAAAACAUGAGUUCGGUGUAAAACGAGCACUAGGUGUUCUGCUCGCCUUUGAAGAAAACGGAGGCUCAAGCGCGUUGAUUUGGAAUUUGGUUUCUUAUGUCGUAACACUGCAGUAAGCCCCUCCCCUUACUCUGCCUUGCCCGGCCAGAGACUUGGCCCGCCAAUGAGACACGACCGUGCGAGCGCCACAUGUGUGUACACUGUAACGUCACUUGGGUCUAUGCAGAUUCUCACCUUGCCAAUUUUUACUACGGCGACCAUGGAACUCACCCACUCAGUAGGCUGCUCAACUUUGGUAAUGUAGCCAUCUUCUUCCAUUUCAUGCAGUUUCUCCAGUAUCUUGCCUCUGAGAGCGGCUGGUGUAGUUCAUCCUGUGGGGUUAGCUCCGUACAGGAUGAACUACACCUUUUGCACGUGGUUCAAGCUUUAUGGUGUAUUUACCUGGCAUGGUUCCAGUGGUGCGCGUCAGCUCUGGGAACUUAAGAAGUCCAGCAGGAAUACGCUGUGUUUCAGUAUUGUCAGGGUUUCGUGUGUAGCGUCUAUCUGCAUCACUCUCCAGUAAGUCAAGGCGCACAAUCAGCCCCAACGCUUCAGCUGAAGCACCACUGAGCACAUUCUCUUGAGCGAUGUCCAAAUUUCAAACACUGUGGUCUCUUUACACUUUUUUGACUUGACUUGUAGAUUAACAGCAGCUACAGGCCUUAGCCGGUGAUUGGAGUAUGAGCGGAGGACUGUCUCAGAGCGCUGCAGCUCACCUGUGUGGGCAAGCAACUGGUAGCUAUUUAGAGUCAAUAUGUUACACUUUGCGCCUGUAUCAAUUCUGAAUUUCACUUCUUUAGACAGAAUUUCCAAUUUGACCACCCAUUUAUCAACAGUGGGGUCUUCGGGCUGCAUCAUACUUAUGCUCAGCAUUCCCUCAUCAUCUGGUGAGUCUUGGUCCGAGUCAAUACUCGCAGUGUUUACUGCACGCUUUUGGCACACUGCCACCCAGUGGUUGGGUUUGUGGCAGUAGGAACAAACAGAGCCUUUUGCUGGACACUUUCCUUGGUUCCACUUGUGCUGCGGGUCUUUUCCACACUUGGUGCAGUUUUUUGACGAGCUGACCGAUGCUUGUUGUCGAUAAGUAGAAUUAUGAACAACAGUAGGUUUAUUAAACUGCGCAUGCGUACAAACGGCACUACGGGUACCCAGGAGGGACAGAACAGACCGUAGUCAUGGGAGUAAAUCAAACAAUACAUUACAGUGGCUUACCCCAGCAGAGAGCUGGAAAACUGGAAGAGCAUCCGGUUUGCGAUCAUAUAUAUAGAUUUAAAGGUAACAGUAGAUGGCGCAAUUAAACUCAUUGCAGGACAAUUCAAUAUACAGGCUAUAUACACAUUUUAGCAGGAAUUUCAAUAAAAUAAUUAAAGUAUUUAUUAUACCCGUUACAUAUAUAUCAUAUAGAUACUAGAGCUGUCAAGCGAUUAAAAUAUUUAAUCGUGAUUAAUCGCAUUAAUGUCAUAGUUAACUCUAAUUAAUCCCGAUUAAUCGCAAAUUAUUUUUCUAUGCUAAAUAUCCCUUGAUUUUUUUGUCCCAUAAUUCUCUUAUCAACAUGGUGAAGUGCAUCGGCCUGCCUUGUGCAAAUGAUUUUUUAUUGAUAACAACAUUGGCAUAUACACUGAUCAAAACAGGACGAUACAAAAAAAGAGCCUAUAGUGCAAUUAAACGACUGCUUUGAACAAAUGUCAUUUGAACAUAGCAGUCAGGCUACUGCUUCUUUGUUUUGAGCCAAAAAAAAAAAGUUUUUUUUUUUUUUUUUUUAUAAAGUAAUUGCGUUAAUCGCGCGAUAAAUUUUUUAACGCCGUUAAAUUUGGUUUGCGUUAACACCGUUAAUAACGCGUUUAACUGACAGCUCUAAUAGAUACAUUAAUGGUGGAAAGCAGCUAAAAUCAUCUCUGAAUUCAUAGGCAUACUACGGGACUCGGCAUGGUGCCCAAAAGUCUGAGGUCAAGGCGUACUGACGUCAACCCUUUUUAGAUUAGAUUUGCGUCCACCAGAUGUUUAGAUUAGAUUUGCUGAGGAUGUUGACCACAUAGCUAGUAAUGUAUGACUGACCGGCUGUGGGCAGGCAUACGAUAUGGAGAACAGCUCUGUUUGUGAGGUUAAAUAGCCCGGGAUCUUAUGAUCGUUAGUGUCUUUGCAAACCUCACUCGGCUUUGUUGUUGCUUGUUUGCGGGUAACAGUAAAGCCUCUGUCAAUACUUGCUCCGGACUCCUCGUUUCUUUUGCUAUCUCUCAGUUAGUCGAAGUGUUAGAGAACUCUGGUAUAGUUUCUGCUACAUAAUUAUUUAGAUAUAGAGCUCAAGGACUCCCGUGUGUUCUAGAAUAUUUACAGAACACGGCUAAAGGCUGUGUGCGCCGCGUAUUUGAUGUAUUGGAUGCAUCCACUGUGACCAGAGCGCAUGGUACCGUGGCUGCAAGCUGCUCAGGGCCACACCCCCACGCUCCUCCUUGACCCGCCUCGCUCCUCCUCAUUUGCAUUAUAGCUGCAGACACCAAAACAGCGCAUUUGGGGGAAGCUCCAUGUGCGACUUGCUCGGAGUGGCUGUAACUCUGCACCAUGGCUGAAUUUCGGGAACGUCUUUGAAUACUGUGUUAGUGGCCCACUAAUACCUAUAUUACAGCAUCCAUAAAAUAGCAUGUCAUGGCACCUUUAAAGAGCUUUUACAUCACACAAUGCAUCAUGGAUUUUUUUUUUGAUACUCCUCCAUUGAGAGAGGACUCAAGAGGGUUUUCUUAAAUUACUGUAAAAUCCUAAAGCGGCAUUUAAUGAUAGGGGCUCAGCACCCCUAAAACUUGGGAGUAAGAAAUGUUGUUAUUCUAAAAAAAUGUGAAGAAAGAUUGUCUUUGAAAUUGUCAAAUAAUGUCCAAAACAUACUCUGUAGUUUGUGGUUUAAAAGGAAAAUGUUAAGGACGAAAAUGAAAACAUCCCCGCUUAGCAAAUGGUAUCAUCCUCUUCUCACCCACUCCUUCUCUUCUGUACCUGCAACGCUCCGCAGCCCGACCGUCGUCCAGCGCGACUCACGCAGAGUGAGAUCCGUUUAGUUGUGAAUCAACUAAGUAAGUUGCUCCAAAGCUGUGUCUCACACUUCUUUCCUUUUACCUCGAGUUGUUCCGAUUCUGAUACCAUAUAUCGGUGAGUCCUGGAGUCCAGGCACCGUUUACCAGUUAGCUCGGUAGCCCGGUUAGCACCAAUAGCACGGCUACCGUCGAACUGGAGCGGUCCAUUUAUUAAGCAAAAACAGCAGCGCCACAAGUACCUGUGUAGUGCGUACGUGUGUCUCUGUUGUUAAAGUUUAUCGUUACUUUGAGACUCAUUUUAACAAUCGGGAGUCAUGUCAACAUGACGUCAGGCGUGUCUUUUCUGGUGUGUGUGUGUGUGUGUGUGUGUGUGUGUGUGUGUGUGUGUGUG
ensembl:lncRNA